UAUGAAGAACGUAGCGAAAUGCGAUAAGUAAUGUGAAUUGCAGAAUUCAGUGAAUCAUCGAAUCUUUGAACGCACAUUGCGCCCGCUAGUAUUCUGGCGGGCAUGCCUGUCCGAGCGUCAUUUCAACCCUCAAGCCCCCGGGCUUGGUGUUGGGGAUCGGCGAGCCUCCGCGCCCGCCGUCCCCUAAAUCUAGUGGCGGUCUCGCUGUAGCUUCCUCUGCGUAGUAGCACACCUCGCACUGGGAAACAGCGCGGCCACGCCGUUAAACCCCCAACUUCUGAACGUUUGACCUCGGAUCAGGUAGGAAUACCCGCUGAACUUAAGCAUAUCAAUAACGGAGGA
rnacentral:misc_RNA from 1 species